GACGUUGCCAUGGCAGGAGGAUGCUGCCGUGGUGGGGAGGGGGCUGUGACAGGAGGAUCCUCUCGAGGUGGGAGGAUGCUGCCUCCACCAUGGAAGGAUCUUGCCGUGGCAGGAGGAUGCUGCUGAGGCAAGAGGAUGUUGUCGUGGGAGCAGAAGUGCUCGCUUGCAGGCUUGCAGCGUGAAAACCCCUGAGUGAUUAGCCAGAAGAGUUAAUUAUCCUGUCGUUAAGAGAAGAGGUGCUAAAGGGCCUCAGCGAUGGGCUCUUGGAGGGGAGGGCACCGGGUAUUUCUCAGGGGAGGGCACCGGGUGCUUCCCGGCGGGAUGGUGACUCCAACCUCCAUCCUGGAGGGGUGCAGGAUGCCAAGACGCUCCUCUGCCUGUGCAGGGAAGAGCUGGCAGAGCCUGUGUGGGAAGCUCCAUCCCCAGGAUUCAAACCAGAGGAGGAUCAAUAGAUUUAUCUGAGCGGAGGAACUCGGUCUGUCAGAGCAGCUGAAUUAUUUAUGGACCUGGAGGGGCCUUUCCCGGGAGGCUGCAGAGCAUCCACCUUCACAGCCACAAUUACAGCUCUCUUUACAAAACCAA